AGAAAUUUCUCUACUAUCAUUGUGCAACAGGUUAAAACUCUGUUUCGUUGGCAAAUUAAAAUGAAUCUACUACACGGUUUGUUUUCGGUGCUAUUUAUCGUUGAAUUUUCGGAACUUCAAGGAAAACAUGGCUUUUUCUCGCAAGCUCUUCUUAAGGGCGAAGUGAUUGAAAACAUGUCACAGGCAAAGUUUGUAGCUGGAAUCCAUAUCCCCGCAAGUAAGUCUGCUUUAGAAUCAUUUUCAUUUUCAUUUUUGUGUGUGUGAAUUUUUGUCCGAAAAAUUCAAAUAUUCUAUCAAUUUUGCUAGGGGCUGACCACGCUUCAAAAAUAGAAAUGAAAAUAAUGCUAGAUUUUAUAAUUUUUUUCAAACAAUAUAUUAUUUACAACUGUGAAAUUUUUCGAACUUUCUCCAGAAACGAUUCACUGUAACCGAUAACUUUCAAUUGUGCGUUGUUAUUAAAACGAAUAUGGUCACGGUCGCGGAGGUGUAACGUUACUGACAUACAAAUGAGCUCAUAACAUGGCCACUAUCAGAGAUAUUUCAGAAGAGUGAAGACAAAAAAUGUAGAUCGAGUAUGGGGCAACAAUAAUCGAAUCAUAAAAUGGAAUUUUUUUUGGUUUUUGUAGAGAUAUAAUCGUGUGUAAAAAACCUUGAAAAUUCGCAAAUUUUCAUACAUUUUUUUAACACCUUCUUAUUCUUUUGCACAUAUUUAGCAUAACAAGUACACAGACUGUAGAGUUCCUUGUAUUAAAUGAAUUUUAGUAUAAUUAGCUAGAAUUUAUGCCUUUACUCUUUCUUGUUAUCUAUUAUGAUAGCGGAGUUAUGAGCAUGUGAAAAACGUCAGUAACGUUACCGUGCGCCGCGACCGUGACCAUAUGCAUUUCUGUCGGUUUACUGUCAGAAAAUUCAUCACAUUUUUGACCACCACAAAAGUAUUGUUCAUAGUAGAUUAUGGAUUUAGUCAAAUAUUUGAGUUAACAUACAAAUGGUAUUAAAAUUGAAUGAUGAAAACGAAUUUUGUAGAUGAAAAAUUCGCGGUUUCCCCCUAGCUAUUUUGUGUGUGUGUUCAUUUUUUCUUUUAAUAUUAUUGCUUGUACUGAGAAUGAAACGAUUUGAUUACAUGAAUACAAAGACCAUCCAAAUGAUCCCAAUAGCAACAUGAUGAGUAAGUGUACUGCAUUUAUUCUGUCGAAAACGGAAAUUAUCACGAAUGCCCAUUGUGUGGAUGACGCUCCAUAUGUUUAUGUGGUAGCUGGUACGAAAGUUGUAUCAGGUGCAAACCAGAAAAUUAAAAUCAAAGUCGAAAAAGAGAACAUUGCAUGUCACCCUCAUUAUAGUCGUUUAAUUGUUGGUGGAUUUGAUAUUGCCAAAAUUACACUGAAAACGCCGUUACUAUCGAGAAAUGCGACAAAACUUAAAGUCACUAAAGACCAGAUAGAAAUUCAUGAGGAAUACGCAUUUUCGGGAUUGACAUUUGACAUUGCCAAGAUUACACUUAAAGAACCGUUGGAGUUCAACGAUAACGUCGGCAGCAUCGAUUUGGUGGACAAAGAUUACAAAAUGAAUGACCCGUCCGAAGUGGUCACUGUCUACGGUAAUGUGGUAUUGGAUGGAACAAUGAGAACGAGGCGUUAUGAUACGAAAUAUUUGAAUGGCGCCAUUUGCAAACCGAAAGUGCACCCCGUAUUUGAUGUAAAUCAUUUGAUGUGUUACACUUUAGAUGAAAGCAUGGGAACUCCUUCUACGUUUGGAGGUCCAAUGAUUUCGAAAAAGAAUAACAAACUCGUGGGCAUGACCAUAAUUCGUUAUCCUGAUCAGCCAGUUAUUUUUCAACCGAUUGCACCGUUGCUUGAUUGGAUCCGGAAGCUAAAUGUAAGACGUAAUCAGAGAAGAAGAAUAUAGGCUUGAAAAAAUGGGUUUUAGGCGCCUGAAAAAGC